rnacentral:rRNA from 1 species
UACGUAGGGUGCGAGCGUAAUCGGAAUUACUGGGCGUAAAGCGUGCGCAGGCGGUUUUGCAAGCCGGAUGUGAAAUCCCCGGGCUCAACCUGGGAAUGGCAUUCGGGACUGCAAGGCUGGAGUGCGGCAGAGGAGACUGGAAUUCCUGGUGUAGCAGUGAAAUGCGUAGAUAUCAGGAGGAAUACCGAUGGCGAAGGCAGGUCUCUGGGCUGACACUGACGCUCAUGCACGAAAGCGUGGGGAGCGAACAGG